CAAGCCCCAGCCCCAGGAGUCCCAGGUGUUCCCAUUCUGUGAUCAGCACAGAACACACACCUCAACAUGGAGUUUGUGCUGGGCUGGGUUUUCCUGGUUGCUCUUUUAAAAGGUGUCCAGUGUGACGUGCAGCUGAUGGAGUCUGGGGGAGACCUGGUGCAGCCUGGGGGGUCCCUGAGACUCACCUGUGUAGCCUCUGGAUUCACCUUCAGUAGCUACGACAUGCACUGGGUCCGCCAGGCUCCAGGAAAGGGGCUGCAGUGGGUCUCAGCAAUUAGUAGUGGAGGUAGCACAUACUACGCAGACUCCGUGAAGGGCCGAUUCACCAUCUCCAGAGACAACGCCAAGAACACGCUGUAUCUGCAGAUGAACAACCUGAAGACUGAAGACACGGCCACAUAUUACUGUGCAAGAGACACA